ACCGGGUGUGUUGGCACUGCCAGUAGUCCCAGCUACUAGGGAGGCUGAGUGGGAGGAUCGCUUGAGCCCAGGAGUACUGGGCUGUAGUGCACUAUGCCGAUCAGGUGUCCACAGAGUUUGGCAUCAAUAUGGCGACUUCCCGGAACGGGGGACCACCGGUUGCUAAGGAGGGGUGAACCGGCCCAGGUCAGAAAUGGAGCAGGUCAAAACUCCCGUGCUGAUCAGUAGUGGGUUCGUGCCUGUGAAUAGCUGCUGCACUCCAGCCUGGGCAACAUAGCAAGACCCCGUCUCAA
rnacentral:SRP_RNA from 1 species